ACCUGGCUGGCUCAGUCGGUAGAGCAUGUGACUCUUGAUCUCCAGGUUGUGAGUGCAAGCCCCACAUUGGGUG
rfam:Canis lupus familiaris chromosome 21, whole genome shotgun sequence.